UACGUAGGGUGCAAGCGUUGUCCGGAAUUAUUGGGCGUAAAGAGCGUGUAGGCGGCCAGACAGGUCAGCUGUGAAAACUCGAGGCUCAACCUCGAGACGUCGGUUGAAACCGUCUGGCUAGAGUCCGGAAGAGGAGAGUGGAAUUCCCGGUGUAGCGGUGAAAUGCGCAGAUAUCGGGAAGAACACCCGUGGCGAAGGCGGCUCUCUGGGACGGUACUGACGCUGAGGUGCGAAAGCGUGGGGAGCAAACAGG
rnacentral:rRNA from 1 species